rnacentral:rRNA from 1 species
CGGGCGUCUUAACAUGCAAGUCGAGCGCGAAAGCGACUUCGGUCGUUAGUAGAGCGGCGCACGGGUGAGUAACACGUGGAUAACCUGCCUAAGUGUGGGGAAUAACUUGGGGAAACCUAAGCUAAUACCGCAUACGUUCACUGAACCUCGGUUUGGUGUGGAAAGACCGCCUAUUCUUGAAAGCGGUCGCACUUAGAGGGGUCCGCGGCUGAUUAGCUAGUUGGUAAGGUAAUGGCUCACCAAGGCGACGAUCAGUAGCCGGCCUGAGAGGGUGAUCGGCCACACUGGAACUGAGACACGGUCCAGACUCCUACGGGAGGCAGCAGUGGGGAAUAUUGGACAAUGGGCGAAAGCCUGAUCCAGCAACGCCGCGUGGAGGAUGAAGGCCUUCGGGUUGUAAACUCCUGUCAGGUGGAACGAAAAACUUCAGCUAAUAACUGGAGCAUAUGACGGUACCACCAGAGGAAGCCCGGCUAA